CCCGCACAAGCGGUGGAGCAUGUGGUUAAUUCGAAGCAACGCGAAGAACCUUACCAGGUCUUGACAUCCCCUGACAACCCAAGAGAUUGGGCGUUCCCCUUCGGGGGGACAGGGUGACAGGUGGUGCAUGGUUGUCGUCAGCUCGUGUCGUGAGAUGUUGGGUUAAGUCCCGCAACGAGCGCAACCCUCGCCUCUAGUUGCCAGCAUUCGGUUGGGCACUCUAGAGGGACUGCCGGCGACAAGUCGGAGGAAGGUGGGGAUGACGUCAAAUCAUCAUGCCCCUUAUGACCUGGGCUACACACGUGCUACAAUGGGCGGUACAAAGGGCUGCGAACCCGCGAGGGGGAGCGAAUCCCAAAAAGCCGCUCUCAGUUCGGAUUGCAGGCUGCAACUCGCCUGCAUGAAGCCGGAAUCGCUAGUAAUCGUGGAUCAGAAUGUCACGGUGAAUACGUUCCCGGGUCUU
rnacentral:rRNA from 1 species